GUAGGUGGCAAGCGUUGUCCGGAAUUAUUGGGCGUAAAGCGCGCGCAGGCGGUUCUUUAAGUCUGAUGUGAAAGCCCACGGCUCAACCGUGGAGGGUCAUUGGAAACUGGAGAACUUGAGUACAGAAGAGGAAAGCGGAGUUCCACGUGUAGCGGUGAAAUGCGUAGAGAUGCGGAGGAACACCAGUGGCGAAGGCGGCUUUCUGGUCUGUAACUGACGCUGAGGCGCGAAAGCGUGGGGGAGCAAACAGGAUUAGAUACCCUGGUAGUCCACGCCGUAAACGAUGAGUGCUAAGUGUUAGGGGGUUUCCGCCCCUUAGUGCUGCAGCUAACGCAUUAAGCACUCCGCCUGGGAGUACGGCCGCAAGGCUG
rnacentral:rRNA from 1 species